ACCAUCUAUAAAUAUAACCUCACAAACUAUCACAAUACGAAUUCCACCUAUCACAAUACGAAUUCCAUAGCCAAAAAAUCGAUCUCCACAAAAAUCAUUCUCAUUUUUUCAUUUUACGUUGAAAUGGCUCCUUUGUUCGGCGUCAUCAAGGAAUUGGAACCGGGAAAGAGCAAGAUCGCAUUGCAAUUGCGCUUGAUAAGAAGUUAUGACAUCUUCAAGUUCAACAACAGAUCUGAAACAUUUUCUCAUGAGUGUGUGUUCCAUGAUAAAGAGGUACUCACUCAAUACACUAUUUUUUUAUAUUUUCGAAAAUUUCAAAUAUCAUACUAAAAUUUUUUGUUUAUUUUUACAGGGCGAUCGAAUCCAUGCCACAAUUAAUACUUCAUCACUACAGCAAAUUAAGCCACUCCUCACAGAAGGACAUGUUUAUGCAAUCAAGGAUUUUGUUAUCACCAACAACACCAUGAAAUACAAAACCACAGAGUCACAAUAUAAGCUUUUAUUGUUCAAGCACACAAGAGUUGUAGAACUCGAUGAUGAUACAUUCCCAAAUCACACAUUCAACAUCAAGAAUUUUGGAGAAAUUUCUUCUAUUUCUGACGUCCAGAAUGUGGUCAUGUUUGGUAAAAACUUUUCAGUCAUUUUAUUUUAAUUAUUAUCAUCUUAUGAAUUUUAAUUUCAAAUUUAUAUUGUAGAUAUCAUGGGAAUCGUAGUUUCAAGUUAUCAGCCAAUAAUCAAAGAUUUCAAUGGACAGCAAACAAAGCUUAUGGAUAUCAUCAUAGAAGAUUUGGAGUAAUAUUUAUUAUACUUUCAAUUAUGUUAAUUGCAUAAAUAAAAUACCUCAAUAUA
rnacentral:lncRNA from 1 species